GAAGCUGACCAGACAGUCGCCGCUUCGUCGUCGUCCUCUUCGGGGGAGACGGGCGGAGGGGAGGAAAGUCCGGGCUCCAUAGGGCAGGGUGCCAGGUAACGCCUGGGAGGCGCAAGCCUACGACCAGUGCAACAGAGAGCAAACCGCCGAUGGCCCACGCAAGUGGGAUCAGGUAAGGGUGAAAGGGUGCGGUAAGAGCGCACCGCGCGGCUGGUAACAGUUCGUGGCACGGUAAACUCCACCCGGAGCAAGGCCAAAUAGGGGUUCACAAGGUACGGCCCGUACUGAACCCGGGUAGGCUGCUUGAGCCAGUGAGCGAUUGCUGGCCUAGAUGAAUGACUGUCCACGACAGAACCCGGCUUAACGGUCAGCUUCCUCA
rnacentral:RNase_P_RNA from 2 species